GAUGAACGCUAGCGACAGGCUUAACACAUGCAAGUCGAGGGGCAACGGGGUUGUAGCUUGCUACAACUGCCGGCGACCGGCGCACGGGUGAGUAACACGUAUGCAACCUGCCCAUUGCAGGGGGAUAAGCGGAAGAAAUUCCGUCUAAUACCGCGUAAUAUGAGAUUGAGGCAUCUUAAUUUCAUUAAAGAUUUAUCGGCAAUGGAUGGGCAUGCGGUGCAUUAGCUAGUUGGCGGGGUAACGGCCCACCAAGGCGACGAUGCAUAGGGGUUCUGAGAGGAAGGUACCCCACACUGGUACUGAGACACGGACCAGACUCCUACGGGAGGCAGCAGUGAGGAAUAUUGGUCAAUGGGCGAGAGCCUGAACCAGCCAAGUCGCGUGAGGGAUGACGGUCCUAUGGAUUGUAAACCUCUUUUGUCGGGGAGCAAGAUCUCUACGUGUAGAGAAGUGAGAGUACCCGAAUAAAAAGCAUCGGCUAACUCCGUGCCAGCAGCCGCGGUAAUAC
rnacentral:rRNA from 1 species